AAACUACAAGAAGAAGAAGAAGAAGAUGAAGAAGACUUGGAGAUGGAAGGGGAACUGCUUUCUAUGGUGGAAAUGUGACCAUGCUAUGGGCUUUUUCCAACGUCUUUGGACAACACAACCUCUCCCAAUGGAGAUGGCUCCUAGUCUCAAACAUGUAUGGACAACACAG